rnacentral:lncRNA from 1 species
UCCCACUAACUAGAAAUGUUCUAGAUCAGGAUUUUAGGAUUUUAGAUCUCAUAGGUAUGAUCUCAUCAUAACCCUAAAACUAUUAUCUUGAUCUAUGAGAUUUAUUAUGAUCUCAAUUAAAAAAUAUAAGAUGCAGCACAUGAUGGAAAAAAAACUUUUAUUAAUAUAAAAUGUCAUUUACAUAAGUCUGAAAGAUUACAAAAAAAAUUUCUUAUAUACAUAAAUCGAUUGGCUUGUAGGAUAUAUUUCUUUCAGUACAAUACAUGAUCAGUGACUGAUGCUCCUUCCCUCAUUCGAGCAUUGAAGAUGGCACAACUAGUCAUGUGCCUCUCAACAUUGUUGGGUGUGCCAAAGGACUCGUUCAAUAUUUGCAACAUAUCCUGUGGCUAAGCAUUCUCAAAACGAUGGCUAAACUCAUCAUUCAUCAACGCCAGCAUAAUACAAUGAACCAUAGUUCGAUCGUUGAGCCACUUCUAAUAAGUGUCUCGAUCGUGCUACAUGUAUUCGGAGCUGACUCCUCAAGUACCGGAUCUAUCAAUACAUACAAGAUCCAUUCAUGCUCCUGGACUAUUUUGAGCUUUCGAUACCAGCUAUCAAAAUUUGAUUCCAUCAAUUUAUCACUAUCUAAUAGUGAUCGGAGCGACAAGGUGGUGGCCAUAACUACAAAAUAAAAAUCAGAACCUAAUUAGUAUAUGAAUUGAUUAAGCCUAAAGACAUGGAUUUUAGUCUAAAGAUUCUCUCACUAUUUUAUUCGAAUUGAUAGUCUCUAUCUUCAAUUUGAGGAAUUACACUAAUUCCUUAGUGGGUACUAGAAUCUACAUGGACUGCACAUGGGCCCGAGUGUGCCUCGGCCAACUCUUGUGUACCUACGGGUAGGUUUUUAACCAAUUAUUUCAUCAAACAAUUUUUAGUAUUCAAUUUUGCCCCAGACACCUCUUCAGCAGGCAUGUGGUGCCUCCACUGAAGGUUCUGGUUAGAUCCAACCAUUAACAUACUAGAAUUUAGUGUAUCUAACAAACGAGUG